rnacentral:rRNA from 1 species
CCUACGGGAGGCAGCAGUGAGGCAUAUUGGUCAAUGGGCGAGAGCCUGAACCAGCCAAUUCGCGUGAAGGCUGAAGGAUCUCUGGUUUGUAAACUUCUUUUAUAUGGGAAUAAAGUGAGGACCGUGUUCCUUUUUGUAUGUACCAUAUGAAUAAGCCUCGGCUAACUCCUUGCAAGCAGCCGCGGUAAUACGGAGGAUGCGAGCGUUAUCCGGAUUUAUUGGGUUUAACGGGUGCGUAGGUUGUUAAUUUAGUCAGCGGUGAAAGUUUGUGGCUCAACCAUAAAAUUGCUGUUGAAACUGGUUGACUUGAGUAUAUUUGAGGGAGGCGGAAUGCGUGGUGUAGCGGUGAAAUGCAUAGAUAUCACGCAGAACUCCGAUUGCGAAUGCAGCUUACUAAACUAUAACUGACACUGAAGCACGAAAGCGUGGGGAUCAAACAGGAUUAGAUACCCGUGUAGUC